UACGUAGGUGGCAAGCGUUGUCCGGAUUUAUUGGGUUUAAAGGGUGCGUAGGCGGCCUUAUAAGUCAGUGCUGAAAUACUCUAGCUUAACUAGAGGGGUGGCAUUGAUACUGUAGGGCUUGAGUGAACUCGAGGUAGGCGGAAUUGACGGUGUAGCGGUGAAAUGCUUAGAUAUCGUCAAGAACACCGAUAGUGUAGACAGCUUACUAGGUUUCAACUGACGCUGAGGCACGAAAGUGUGGGGAUCAAACAGG
rnacentral:rRNA from 1 species